CCCAAGCCCAGAAGCUGGACACCCCACCUCUAGUCCACCCGCCAUUAGCAGCCUCAAUCCUGUUCCCCAAGUGGAGACCUAGCUCCGAGGACCUAGGUUCAAAUACAGCCCUCCCAUUUAUUAGCUGUGUGGUUUUGGGCAAGUUACUUGACCUUUCUGAGUCUCUGUUUCCUCAUCUGGAGACUGAACCCAGGGCUGCUCUACCAUUGGGCUACAUCACCAGCCUUUUUUAUUUUUGAGAUCGGAUCUCAUUAGGUUGUGGAGGCUGGCCUCCAGCUUGUGAUGCUCCUGCCUUACCCUCCGGGAAGCUGGGGUCACAGGCUUGCAGCAUGGUGUCCAGCUUGUUGGGAGAUUUACAUAAAAUGAUUUAUGUGUGGUGCUCUGCCCGGUUCCUGGAUGAUGGUACAGCCCCAGCCGAUGACUGUAAAGUCGAUCGGAUUCUUCCAGGAACUUGGAGUUUUGGCAGCAUCUCCCUCCUGACGUGGACGGGCUUCAAAACAGGGUGUGACCCAUAACUGGUCUGUGACUCUGCCUAACCGCAUGGUGCUUAUCCAUGCAAGGGACUAUCGUCCCCUUCAGAGAGUCACCUCGGGAAGCUCUGCCCCACCCAGAGACACCCUGGACCCUGACACUUCUGGGAACGUUGAUCUUGGAAGUAUCUCCAAAGUUGAUCUUGGAAGUAUCUCCAAAGCCUGGAGGACAUCCAUUCUCUAAGGCUGGGUCUGGACCCCAGACUGCGGAUUGUGGGUUCACGCUGAGAAAUACUGAUAAGGAAAAAAGGGAAUGAAACACGCGGUGAGGGUGGACAGACGUUCCCUCCCACGAAAGGUCCCGGCUGUGCUUUAAGCAUUUUUUUUUUGAGAGAGAGAGAGAGAGAAAAUUUUUUAAUAUUUAUUUUUUAGUUUUCGGUGGACACAACAUCUUUAUUUUAUUUUUUUUUAUGUGGUGUUGAGAAUCGAACCUAGCACCCUGCGCAUGCCAGGCGAGCGUGCUACCGCUUGAGCCACAUCCCCAGCCCUGUGCUUUAAGCAUUUUUAAAAUAAAUGUGUAGAGGAUGGUGCUGUUCAGGGUUGGGAAGAGACACUUGGGGUAUCAAAGUACCUGGCCCUUAGGGGGCUGACCUGGGCAGAAGGUGAUGUGUUCCCAGAAACAAUUGUCCCCAGAGGUCACAUCAAGGUUGUUUGGUGUUGUUGUUGUUUUGCUUUGUACUGGUAAUUGAACCCAGGAGCAUUUUAUUUGUGAGCCACACCCCAACCCCUUUUUAAAUUUUUAUUUUGAGCUGGACACAUUAGUUCACGCCUAGAAGCCCCCUUGGUAGGGAGGCUGAAGCAGGAGGAUAGCCAGCCUCAGCAACUUAGUAAGGCCAAAGCAACUCAGCAGGAUCCUGUCUUUAAAUAAAAUAUACUCAAAAGAGGGCUGGGGUGUGACUCCGUGGUUAAGCGCCCCUGGGUUCAAUCCACUAUAGCCCCCUCAAGUAUUUUUUUUUAUUUUUUAAAUUUUGAGAUAGGGUUUUGCUAAGGUGCCCAGGCUGGCUUCAAACUUGCAUCCUCCUGCCUCAGCCUCCCAAGGUGCUGGGAUUACAGUGAAAAACCAGCCUCUACCUCAGAGCAAAGCCUGUCCAAGGAAGGGACAUGACCUUUGUCCUUGGAAAGACCCACAGAGCACUCCUAGGCACAUACCCACCCUGCUAAGUUGUUUAUCUACAAAUAACAGGAGAGAUCUGCUGUGCCAGGUGUCCCUGACUCAGUCAGGCUAGGUGGGGACCCAUAGCAACCCUCUAGCAGCCAGCAAUCAGCAUGAGACAGGGAAAUACCUGGGAUGCCAGAUGACCCUCCCAGUAGUUUAUGGUGUUGGGAAACCAUGUAGUUCAGCAUGAACACCCCUCUUGGCUUAAACCAAUCAGUUCAAAUGAAUCCCCCUCUUGUAGUAACCAAUCACCCCUACCCAACUAGUUCCCGCCAGUGAAUGUGCUAAUCAUGUUUUAGAGUUAUUGUUUGAUUUUCCCACGGUGUGUGAUGAUUUGCUAAGAGAUGCUAUGAUGUAUGUGAAGUCCCUGCCUUCCCCAAAGAGUGUAUAAAACUGCUGCAAACCCUGGGCUCCGGACCUCUCAGCGUCACCAGUUGCUGUGUGCACACGGAAGACCGAGCUAGCUCGCAAUAAACACCUCUUUGCUGCUUACAUCGAUCUUGGUCUCUGGGGGUCUUUUGGGGGUCCCAAACUCGAGCAGAACAACAGGCUGCA
rnacentral:lncRNA from 1 species